UCAGGAAUAUUGCGCAAUGGAGGAAACUCUGACGCAGCGACGCCGCGUGGGUGAUGAAGGCCUUCGGGUCGUAAAGCCCUGUCGGAGGGGAAGAAAAGUUUGCUGGCUAAUAUCCAGCAGACCCUUGACGGUACCCUCAAAGGAAGCACCGGCUAACUCCGUGCCAGCAGCCGCGGUAAGACGGAGGGUGCUAGCGUUGUUCGGAUUGACUGGGCGUAAAGGGCGUGUAGGCGGUUGGCCCAGUCCGGUGUGAAAGCCCGAGGCUUAGCCUCGGAAGUGCAUCGGAAACUAGCCGACUGGAGCGCGAUAGAGGAGGGUGGAAUUCCUGGUGUAGCGGUGAAAUGCGUAGAUAUCAGGAGGAACACCGGCGGCGAAGGCGGCCCUCUGGAUCGUUGCUGACGCUGAGACGCGAAAGCGUGGGGAGCAAACAGGAUUAGAUACCCCCGUAGUCC
rnacentral:rRNA from 1 species